rnacentral:rRNA from 1 species
UAGGGAAUCUUCCACAAUGGACGAAAGUCUGAUGGAGCAACACCGCGUGAGUGAAGAAGGGUUUCGGCUCGUAAAGCUCUGUUGUUAAAGAAGAACACGUAUGAGAGUAACUGUUCAUACGUUGACGGUAUUUAACCAGAAAGUCACGGCUAACUACGCGCCAG